rnacentral:rRNA from 1 species
GACGAACGCUGGCGGCGUGCUUAACACAUGCAAGUCGAACGAAGCACUUUGAAAAGUUUACUUUUUAAAGUGACUGAGUGGCGGACGGGUGAGUAACGCGUGGGUAACCUGCCUCGCACAGGGGGAUAACAGUUAGAAAUGACUGCUAAUACCGCAUAAAAAUGGCAGUUUCGCAUGAAACAACCAUCAAAGAUUUAUCGGUGUGAGAUGGACCCGNGUCUGAUUAGCUAGUUGGUAAGGUAACGGCUUACCAAGGCGACGAUCAGUAGCCGACCUGACGAGGGUGACCGGCCACAUUGGGACUGAGACACGGCCC